CUAAUUAUUCUACAUUCUGAUUAUGUAGUUGUUUCUUUGCCCUGAAGUGGCACUCCCGCUAUUAUAAGCAUCUUUGGUAUAAAUAAAUGAUGCAUAAGAAAGCAUCAUCAAAUUAGAGAGCUGGAAAGUUGAAAAAAGAAAGGGCGGAAUGGUGUGCCUUCCCUUUUUUUCUUUUGUCUCGACAGGAGAUAACCCGACAAAACCUGAUGAAUAAGAUGAAGUGUUUAGCAUAACAGGGCUGGGAUAUCCUUAUAUAUCAAGCAGAAGAAAAAAGUGAUUGAAUCUUUACCUGAAACCAACUAACUUCACGUAAUAACAUGAAACACUUGAACUUACAGGAAGAAACAAUUCAGCCACACUGGAUCUCCCUCCACUCCGG
rnacentral:lncRNA from 1 species